AGAGAGAGAGAGAGAGAGAGAGAGUGAGUGAGUGUAUGGAGACGUGAACACUUUCUCUCAGAGCCCCCCUUAUUCCCCUCCCUACGACCCCCGAAACCGGAUUAAACCGAUUUAUUUUUUUUCCGUUAAACGUGACCGUUAUUCGGGGCUAAACCGAGGCGCGAUGUGGAUUCAGGUCCGCACUAUAGACGGGACGGAGACCCGCACGGUGGAGGAUCUGUCCCGGCUCACCAAGAUCGAGUCUCUGCGUCUCAAAAUACAGGAGAUCUUCAAUGUGGACCCGGAGAGACAGCGCUUAUUCUACAGAGGCAAACAGAUGGAAGAUGGACAGACACUAUUCGAUUAUAAUGUUGGCCUUAAUGACAUCGUCCAGCUUCUCAUUCGCUCUCACACUGAUCCAGCUGACAGUCCAAGCCCUACUCCCAACAAUGGAGAGGUCAUGACUGGUAACGCUACUCCUCCCAGCAGCAGCAGCAGCAGCAGCAGCUCUACCACACCCACAGCAACCACAGUAACCACAGCAACCACGGCUUCCCCAGCAACGGUCAGCAGCAAUAGUGGGUCAGCAUUAGAAAGUCAGCCUUCGACAUCAUCAUCUGCUGACCUCGUCAAUCCAGGGAUUGGAGUUUAUAAGAUUAACGAGCUGGUGGACUGCAGGGAUGUUAGCAUUGGCGCCUGGUUCGAGGCCACUAUCGAGAGAGUCACGCUGUCCAGCAAAGGGAGCAAAAGCAAAGCUGAGACCGCAGCAUCCUCUACAGGCAGAGCAGGAAGGAACGGCAAGCGCAUUAAUGGGAAGGUGGAGAUGGAGUCAGACACAAACGGCACUGUGCCGCCAUACUCGAACAGUGAAGAGCCUUCAACAUCUCAGACUGAAGCAGAAGAUUCUGGAAAAGACGAUAUCAGCUACCACAUUAAAUACGAGGAUUACCCAGAGAACGGUGUGGUGGAAAUGAGCGCCGAGGACGUGCGUCCUCGAGCUCGGACACUGCUACGGUUCGAACAGCUGGAGGUGGGACAGGUGGUGAUGGUCAACUACAACCUGGAGCUUCCAGAAGAGAGGGGAUUCUGGUAUGAUGCUGAAAUCACCACGCUCAACCACAUCUCCAGAACCAAAAAGGAGGUGCGCGUCAAAAUUCUGCUCGGAGGCCCAACCGAUGUGAUUAGUGACUGUAAGCUAUUGUUUCUGGAGGAAAUCUACCAAAUUGAGAAACCCGGAGCUCCUCCUCUCUCUGUCACCAACGGCCAGUUUAAACGUAAGAGUGGGCCGGAGUGUAAGCACUGUAAAGCCGACCCGGAUGCCGAGUGUCGGUUCUGUUCAUGCUGCGUGUGUGGGGGAAAGCAGGACGCACACAUGCAGCUGCUGUGUGAUGAGUGUAACAUGGCCUUCCAUUUGUACUGCCUCAACCCCCCACUGUCCACCAUUCCAGAGGACGAAGACUGGUACUGCCCCACAUGUAAGAAUGACACCACGGAAGUGGUGAAAGCAGGUGAAAGGCUGAAAGAGAGUAAGAAGAGGGCUAAGAUGCCUUCAGCAACCAAUGGCAGCCAGCGGGACUGGGGAAAGGGAAUGGCGUGUGUGGGUCGAACUAAAGAAUGCACCAUUGUUCCAUCCAAUCACUAUGGUCCGAUUCCUGGAAUUCCUGUGGGAACCACUUGGAAGUUUCGUGUGCAGGUGAGUGAGGCGGGGGUGCAUAGGCCGCAUGUGGGUGGGAUUCAUGGACGCAGUAAUGAUGGCUCCUAUUCGCUCGUGCUGGCCGGAGGAUUUGAAGACGAAGUGGACCGGGGAGAUGAGUUCACGUACACAGGCAGUGGAGGUCGUGACCUUUCAGGAAACAAGCGAAUCGGAGAGCACUCCUUUGAUCAGACUCUAACACACAUGAACAGGGCACUUGCUCUGAACUGUGAUGCUCCUUUGAAUGAUAAAGAUGGGGCGGAGUCUCGUAACUGGAGGGCGGGGAAACCGGUCAGAGUGAUCCGAAGCUCGAAAGGCAGACGAAUCAGCAAAUAUGCACCAGAGGAAGGAAACCGCUAUGAUGGAAUCUACAAGGUAGUCAAAUAUUGGCCUGAAAUUGGAAAAUGCGGCUUCCUGGUCUGGCGUUACCUGCUGAGACGUGAUGAUGUGGAACCUGCACCGUGGACACCUGAGGGACUCGAGCGCAGCAAAAAACUCGGACUGAAAGUGCAGUAUCCUCCUGGUUAUUUGGAGGCAAUGGCCAAUAAGAGCAAGAAGGAGGCGAGUGUGCGAGGGGGAAGAGGUGGCACGCCACGUGGCAAGCGACACGGAGGAAGAGGAAGGCCAAGAUGUGGACGGCCGCCAAAGAGGGUAAAGGAAGAAGAGGAGGGGGAAAGAGAGGAGGAGGAACCGGCAGAGCACAAGGACGGAGAAACACAGAAGAACGGAGGAGAGGACUCGCAGAAAGAGACAGUGUGUAAGGAGCAGCAGGAGCCCAAAGCAAAACGGUUAAAGGAAGUGGAGGCAUUUGUGUUAUCCGAGCAGCAGCGUUCACUUAUACAGGAGGAUCAUGUGAACAAGAAAGUGUGGGAUGAAGCUAUGGGCUUCCUCACUGAAGGACCGAACUUCCUGCGUAAGGUGGAGCAGAUCUUCAUGUGUGUGUGCUGCCAGGAGCUCGCUUACCAGCCCGUCACCACACCUUGCCAGCACAAUGUCUGCAAGACCUGCUUACACCGAUCGUUCAGAGCUGAAGUGUUCACCUGCCCAGCAUGUCGCUACGAUUUGGGGAAAGAUUACAUCAUGGUGCUGAAUAAAAACCUGCAGCAGCUCCUGGAUCAGUUUUUUCCUGGAUACAGCAAGGGACGAUGAGACGUCACCGGAGAUACGGACAGAAAUAAUCUCCAUCCAGCUCAAUGGCACUUACACACACACACACACACACACACACACAAAGAGAAUCAGUGCACUAGCUCCUACAUCCAACAUGAUAACAAACAAAACACACACACACAAUCAGUGCACUAAGACCUACACUCAACAUAAUAACAAAGCGCACAUGUACACACACACACACACACACACACAAAAAUGCUUCAUGUAGAUGUUUCUUUCAUUAACACCAGCCUGAUACUUGUAUCCCAAGGACACCCAGGUCAUCACCAUGACCACGACCUCUGCUGGUUGUGCGUGGAUUUAUUCCUUCAUACACAUCUCUCGAUUGAAGGAUACACACACAAAUUCACAAACACACUCUCUACAAAGGAGCAGCGGAAAACUAGCGACAACUCGUUCCUUUCAACGGAUCCGUUAAGGAUGGACUAAUGGCUAAUGCUAAUCAAGUGCUAACUGUUGCUAACAGGGGAAAAAAUGGCUCACAAAUCUCCACAAAAGUGACAUAAUUUAACCAAACAAUGCUAACCCGGCAUCAAAGAAUCAACGCUAGGGGUGGCUAGUAAGAAUAGACGGGUUUUAUUUACUGUUAAAACAGGCGUGUAGCUCAGUAUCCUUUCGUUAUCCGUUAAUCCCAGCCAGGUUGAUAGCUAGACAACAGAUUACUGAAUUUCAAUUAGGUUAAUUGCUUUUAUGUUUUGGGAUUGCUAAAAAUCUACAGCUAGCUGGCUAGCUAACCCUCAUGCCUACUUUCUUUCACUUCUCAAAUUUCGAUUUUUUUAUGUUUGACAAUAAAAGUUUGUUCAACUUUAAUGUUUCACUCAAAUUGCCUGGAUUAGUAUAUCGAUUAGCAUCACAGCUCAUACAUUAUGUAACAAAAUAAUAGCCAAAGAUUUAUCUAUAUGAUGGCUGUAUCUGUUGGAAUACAAUAGCCGAUCACGCGGAUCUGAGCUUGUAUACGGAAGAGGGCAGAUAGCACUUUUCUCAGAGGAAGCAUGUGUUCGGCUCCAGCCUAAUAUGAGGAGAAUAAGAGUGUACUUAAUUAGCUGCAGCUAACUAGGUAAAGAAUGCUGUAGUGGGAUGCUGGUUUAUUAUGUUUAAAUUUGAUAAAAGCAUUGAGAAUGUACAGUCCUAAAGAUCGUCCUGGUUGUUUUCCGUUCCAGAACAGACGGACUUGCCAGCAACCCUAGCUGUGCUGUUUUGGGGCUAAUAUUGGCUAGCUAGCAGCUCAGAGUCAGAUAUCCUGCAACUUUAAGUUAAUGCUAAUAAUUUAAUACUUUGCCAGGAUCAGGAAAGGGUGAGAUCAGGGUUCUAGGAACAUGUAGCGACUGGAAAAUUCUUGUGAUUUUUGGGAAUGUUUGUUGCACCAAUGUAGUAAUAUUUCACAAAACAGUCCUGGUUAGCCAGUCAGCAAGCUAAUGCUAGGCGCUUUGAUUAUUGUUUAUUGUUGCUGGGUUAAUAAUGUUUGGUUAAAAUAAUCAUUGCUUCUACCAGGGACAGUUUUUAUUUAAACAAUUUUCUAAAAUCCACAAAAAAUGGUGCAAAAGUCCAUAAUGGUGAGUUGCGAUUGGCUGAGAGCAGCAGGACUCGGGAGUAUUUUGUACAGAGGCAGUGGCAAUUAACACAGUCUUUCCUUUAGGGUGAAAUAAAUACAGGGAGAAUUUGUCAUACAGGUAAACUGCGUCAAUAUUCAAUUCUCAAUUCGAUGAAUAGGAUUGAGCAACUGAAUAGCAGAUAAAUUAUACAAUUAUUGUAUAGAGGUGCAGUGACUGAACUGGAGUUAAAUUCAUUCAGUAGUAAAAGCUGAUUUAAAGGUUUGGCUGAAAAACAUAGCCGAUGCCCCAGACUGGGUCCAGUCAGGACACGGCUGUGGUGUAAUGUUAUCGUGUCAUUGAUUUUUUUCAGAUUUAAAUUUAGCCUCAGAGACGUUGCAGUUAUUUUUUCUAUCACAGACCUGCCAACCUUCAUGCAAUGUGCAUAGGAGUGACGCAGUCUCACAUCGGAGUUGUCAUUCAUUUAUUCGUUAAUAUAAACGGCAGCUAAUCAAUAUAUAAAUCUGGAAUUAUAUAUAUAUAUAUAUAUAUAUAUAUAUAUAAUUAUAUAUUAUUAUAUAUACAUAUCCUAUAUUAAGUGACGGAACGCGUCCCACCCCUCAUACUCAUCUUUCCACAUCUCAACAUCUCACGUGAGUAAAAGUUUGGUUCAUCUCAAUUAAAUUUUCACGCACUUUCUGUCAUGCUAAAUGGAAAAGAUGUUUUGUUUUCGUUAAUCUAACUUAAACUCUAUCAGUGUUCCAUUUCCAACGUUACACAAGUAUACAAAUACACCUAGUAAACAUCAUGUAAUUAUCGUUAUUCAGAGAUGCAACCAAAGGUUUUUCAGCCAAAUGAGAGAAAAAAAGGUAGGCUCACAAGGAUAUGAGAACUCCAUAACACACAAAUGUAGUUCAAUUUCAUUCGUAUUACGCUUGUAACAGUGGACUUCGCAACCUUACAGAAAUAAAGCUUUACAGAAAGCUUGACAUGUCUCAGAGGAAGUGCGUGGCUCUUACACUCCCCGAUUAUUAGCUGUAAUGUGACAGAGGAGAGCUGGCUAUUGAGUGGAAAAUGGUAAAUAACCAAAACUCAUUGGUUUACCUGCAAACAAUUCUGAUGUUUUCCAUUAAGCCAGAAACAAAAGACUCAAACAAAUACUGCAUACCAGUAAUGACCUUGAUAGCUAAUAUAUCCAUGAUACCAUAAGUUUUUGUCUCAUGUCUGUAUCAUCAUUAUGAAUAAGAUCCAGUGAUAGUUUCUAUAUCACUGUUAAUACACUUGUUAGCUAUAUUAAUUCCAGAUAUAUAUUUAUACAUUUAUCCCUAAUGAUCAAGCCAGAGGCAACGAAAAACUCCCUGAGACGCCAUGAGGAAGAAAUCUUGAUAGAAACCAGACUCCAACUUCUAUGACACAUUAAUGGUAAUGAAUAUUUGAAACUUAUUAUAAAUCAGGCUGCACGUAUAUACAGGGUUUUACAGUAACUACCAGGCAGUUUGGGGAGAAAGUUUAUAGGCACACUUAUUAAUGGGCUACUUACACACACACACUUCCGCCUUUUGACCUAAACAGCACUUCUACUUUUGGCUCAUCUACUAUAAUGUCUCUGUUUUACAGCUAGUGUCUGCAGCAACUCUCAAAAAAUGAUCAUAUAUGUAAGAACUGUACGACUGGAAAAAAAACCCAAAAGGUAGAUGGUGCUCCUUUGCUGUUCUGCCAAAUGUAAACAAUCCUCCUGGAGACAUGAGAUCCACACUGUAUCAGAAUGGAAGAGUAGUAGCUUUGUGCUGUUUGGAACUUGUUCCUUGCAAUCAGUAGAAAGAAAUUGUGCUUGAAAAACCUUUCUGUUGUCUACAUCUCAACUAAAAUAGACAGCAGCUUGUCCUCAUCAGCCCCUGGUGUUUACCGUAAAAACCCUGUAUGUGCUCACUCCCGCUUCUACUUUAGACACAUGAUUUUUUUUGUGUAUGAAUAAUGCAGGAUUACGCAUUGUUCCUCUUCAGGUUGGCAGGUCUGUGAUUGAUUAUUUGAGAUUAAGCUACAAUGAGUUCUGGAGCUUUAUAAUAGUGUUCUAAGAAAUGAAGGCAAACUAAACAUCACUUUUGGAUUAUGAGCCAUUCAAUAUCUGAUCUAGAUCAGACUUUUUUUGCCCUGUUUCCGCAAACGUCACAAAACCACUUGCUGUUAUUAUCCACACAAAGUCCAGAGAGGUUACGCAGUAUUAUUACUUUUCUGUCCGGAUCAUCUCAACUUUUCAUUACGUUAUUGGCUAAAAGAGGACAUCUCAAGCUAACAGAUAUAACAGUUACAUAAUCAAUCGCAUCUGAUCUUUAGUUUUCCAUUGUUUUUAACCGUUCAUUAUUGCCGUCAUUUUAAAAUACGAACGAACAUUUGUAUGGAGUUAUUUUAUUACUUGUGAAAUGUACUGUAAAAAAAAAAAACAAAAAAAAAAAAAAACAUUUUUAUGAAUUGAAAAUUCAUUAUGAUAUUAGAAAACUGUAAUUGCAAUUUCACAGUUACAUGUGUUUAUUUACAGCAUUUUAUACUUUUAUUACAUUCAGAUUAAGUGUCGCAGUUUAUCCAUUUACGCAAUACGUACAGCUCUGAGAAAGACAGCCAAUGGGACAGCACCGGGGAGUUAAAGAGGGUGGGGCUAAUGCAAAAAAAAAAAAUGAAAUAAUAAUGACAAUUAUAAACAAAAUCAUACGCAAAAAGUACAGGUUUAUGUACAUAUAGAGUUGUGAUUCCUAAAAUAACAUUAUUACUUAAAAAAAGAAAUGUGAUGUUUUGUUGUUUGGACUUUUGUUCAUCAUUACCAAUGCAUAGCCUCACUGGACUUCAAUAGGUCUUUUAUUUUCCAGCAAAAAAAAGUCCAUUUUUCUUGCACACAAUGGAAAAGUCAACAUUAUGGUGAAUAGUGUUAAAACAUGUAGUCCCAUGGCCAGCAUUAUGUCAGCAUCAUGGUCCCAAUGAGUGACAGGCAUAACUGGGUCAUCAAAUGGGGGGCGGGGCUUAAGUUUAAAUUUGAUCAGCCAAUUGCAGACUUCAAUUUGUGACAUUGCCUUUUUUAAUAAAAAAUAAUUUUUACAUUUUUGAUUCGGUGGAAUCACAAAAUACCGGGUUCGACAUAACGUUAGCCGCGGCAGAACCUAUUUUGCUAGCAUCAGCACAGUCCUGUUUUCAUGUAGCUUGCUAGUUAAGCAGAUGCAGGAGAACCGUUAUGUUUUAUAGUAAAAAGGAAAAACAUUUACAACUGGCUAAUCGGAUGUAACUUAUGCUACGCCCCUGUGGUCAUGGCGACACAUGACACUGCAAAACCAGGAUUUGAGCCCGUGUCUCUUGUUCUCACUCGUGUGUUUGUCUCCUAAAUCGUCUGUCCUGUUCGUGGAGGGAGAGAGCAUGUGAUUUUUUUUUUUUUUUCAGUUUAUUUUUGUUUGAAAGAGUUACCUGAUAAAACUGCUUCAUAAACUGCUCUACUGUCUCUGUAGCUAAAUGUGAUUUGCAGCCUGAUUUUUCCUUUAUUUCCCCUUCGAAAAAGAUUCUUUUGAGUUACCCUUGCAAUAGUAGGUGAUGCUAGUAAACCCCUUUUGUGAGUUUCACUCUCUCUCGCUCUCUCUCUCUCUCUCUCGUCGGUUCUCUCUUGUUCUAGUUCUAGUUCCCGUUCUGCCGCUUUGCUUUUCGGCCUUCAUGUCUGUUCUGUUUCGCAGCACGUACUGAAGAAGGAGAAGACUUUUAAACAAUGUAAAAACAGUCGAUGUGUUAUUCUCACGAGCGCUGAUCACGACCUUGUUUUUUUUUUUUUUUUCUAGUGUUUAAUCCCUGGUUUAUGUUCAUCAUCAGUUCUGUUGAUGUGGCAAACACUUACCUAAUGACGCACAACCUGCCUCAGCAGCAACAUGGCUUCAUAUUGUGAUCCCAAAAUUUUAUACAUGGAUGGGCCUGAAAUAAGCUCCACCCCAAUUUGAAGCAGAGCUGCUCAGUUACGCACUUCUCCUUAAAAGAGAGUUCAGGUCUCUAUGGUAGAUGUUCCUGGAGUGGAGGUACGUCAUUCCUCUGCAGAUGUCACAGGCCAGUUCAACUUUCUCUCUCCAACACAGUGAGAUGUCACUGCUUGCCAAGAGCUCCUCCAGACAGCCGCCGCUUACAUACUGUGUGUACACACACACACACACACACACACACACCUUGAUAUAGAAACCUAACCAGGCCUUUAUACGCUUCUCAUUUCUUUAAAAGCAAGACAUACACCACUAAUUAUUAAACGCAUUUCAAUGUGUCCUCUUUAGACAUCUGUCCUCUCUCCUGUCCGUCCUAAAUUAAGGUUCUGUCACAUUUGUCCAGCUUUAGGAUAGCAUUUGUCACCUACACAGUUAUAUACAUUAUGAAUGAAUAGAAACUAAGAAAUAAUUAUAAUAUGGAACAGAAUUUGAUGCAGAGUUACGUUCACUGUUGUAACAGUAUCCAGAAGGAAAAGUGAUGUACCAAAGGUGCAGAAGUGUUACAUGUAGUAACUGUGUAACAUGCAGUGUGCAGAGUGUAUACUCUGAAUAUUAACUUCAUUUUGUGGACCCAGGUUUGGAUCUGGAUGUUGAUUUGCCUUUUCUGUAUGAACUUUAUGAAAUUUUGCAUUAAAUACACAUUUUGCA